GGACGUUGUCAGAAUGGCUACAUUCGACGAUUCGGAAAUGUAUACGGAUCCUCUUUAUGUCGAGGGUCUUGUUAAAUGGCAGGAGCGCUGCCGUGAACCCAUCCCUAAUGAAUCACGAGAGGAGAUCUACGCGAACUUCCGCUAUUCGUGGUACUGGAAGGAUCACCAGAACAAACGAC